AAUUGCAAAGAAACUUGCAAUUGUAGGACUCUGGUGCAUUCAGUGGAACCCAGCAGAUCGUCCCUCUAUGAAAGUUGCUGUUCAUAUGUUGGAAGGGGAAGGAGAGAAUCUACCAACACCUCCCAAUCCUUUUAGCUCUUCAGUUCCAACAAAAACAAAGGCAAGAAUACCAGGGAGACGACUUCUCCAAGAGUUGGAGGUUAUCUCAGAAGCAGAGUAAAAUCAUAAACUAAGGUAAUCCUUUUUAGUGUUUGGCUUUCUAGUUGUCACUUUCUUAAUCUACCUGUGUACUGUAACAUGAGAAUAAUUAUUAGUAUCGCAUGCAAAACCAUAAAUGCUUGCAAUUAUAUCACAUUCUUUGGGAAUUUGAUUUAUUUUUGGUAACCAGUCUACCAGCUGAGCUCAUAGACUGCACUGAUGCUAAUGCAUGCGUUUCAGUGGUAAUGCACUGCACGCAUAUGAAUUUAGCAUGUAAUGUCAAAUCCCAUCAACUGAGGGCAAUUAGACUCACAUACGUUUCACUUAGUAUGCCACCCCCAUACAUUGGGUGUUUUGGGAGGCCUAUUGGUCUAGUUUUAGGGCAUGUUUGGUUUAACUGUUGAAUGCAACUGAUAGCCGUUACUGUUAGCUGAUAACUGAUAACUG
rnacentral:misc_RNA from 1 species